UGAUCCUGGCUCAGAGUGAACGCUGGCGGCGUGCUUAACACAUGCAAGUCGAACGAGAACGGGUUAUAGCUUGCUAUAACUGUCAGCUAAGUGGCGCACGGGUGAGUAAUGUAUAGAUAACGUGCCUCUUACAAGGGAAUAACAGUUGGAAACGACUGCUAAUGCCCUAUAUGCCUUUAUGUCAUAAGACAGCAAGGGAAAGUUUUUUCGGUAAGAGAUCGGUCUGUAUGGUAUCAGCUAGUUGGUAAGGUAAUGGCUCACCAAGGCAAUGACGCCUAACUGGUUUGAGAGGAUGAUCAGUCACACUGGAACUGA
rnacentral:rRNA from 1 species